UACGUAGGGAGCAAGCGUUGUCCGGAAUCAUUGGGCGUAAAGCGCGCGUAGGUGGCCUCAUAAGUCCGCUGUGAAAGUCAAAGGCUCAACCUUUGAAAGCCGGUGGAUACUGUGAGGCUAGAGUACGGAAGAGGCGAGUGGAAUUCCUGGUGUAGCGGUGGAAUGCGCAGAUAUCAGGAGGAACACCAAUAGCGAAGGCAGCUCGCUGGGACUCUACUGACACUGAGGCGCGAAAGCGUGGGGAGCGAACAGG
rnacentral:rRNA from 1 species